rnacentral:rRNA from 1 species
UUUAUGGAGAGUUUGAUCCUGGCUCAGGAUGAACGCUGGCGGCGUGCCUAAUACAUGCAAGUCGAGCGAACGGACGAGAAGCUUGCUUCUCUGAUGUUAGCGGCGGACGGGUGAGUAACACGUGGAUAACCUACCUAUAAGACUGGGAUAACUUCGGGAAACCGGAGCUAAUACCGGAUAAUAUUUUGAACCGCAUGGUUCAAAAGUGAAAGACGGUCUUGCUGUCACUUAUAGAUGGAUCCGCGCUGCAUUAGCUAGUUGGUAAGGUAACGGCUUACCAAGGCAACGAUGCAUAGCCGACCUGAGAGGGUGAUCGGCCACACUGGAACUGAGACACGGUCCAGACUCCUACGGGAGGCAGCAGUAGGGAAUCUUCCGCAAUGGGCGAAAGCCUGACGGAGCAACGCCGCGUGAGUGAUGAAGGUCUUCGGAUCGUAAAACUCUGUUAUUAGGGAAGAACAUAUGUGUAAGUAACUGUGCACAUCUUGACGGUACCUAAUCAGAAAGCCACGGCUAACUACGUGCCAGCAGCCGCGGUAAUACGUAGGUGGCAAGCGUUAUCCGGAAUUAUUGGGCGUAAAGCGCGCGUAGGCGGUUUUUUAAGUCUGAUGUGAAAGCCCACGGCUCAACCGUGGAGGGUCAUUGGAAACUGGAAAACUUGAGUGCAGAAGAGGAAAGUGGAAUUCCAUGUGUAGCGGUGAAAUGCGCAGAGAUAUGGAGGAACACCAGUGGCGAAGGCGACUUUCUGGUCUGUAACUGACGCUGAUGUGCGAAAGCGUGGGGAUCAAACAGGAUUAGAUACCCUGGUAGUCCACGCCGUAAACGAUGAGUGCUAAGUGUUAGGGGUUUCCGCCCCUUAGUGCUGCAGCUAACGCAUUAAGCACUCCGCCUGGGGAGUACGACCGCAAGGUUGAAACUCAAAGGAAUUGACGGGGACCCGCACAAGCGGUGGAGCAUGUGGUUUAAUUCGAAGCAACGCGAAGAACCUUACCAAAUCUUGACAUCCUUUGACAACUCUAGAGAUAGAGCCUUCCCCUUCGGGGGACAAAGUGACAGGUGGUGCAUGGUUGUCGUCAGCUCGUGUCGUGAGAUGUUGGGUUAAGUCCCGCAACGAGCGCAACCCUUAAGCUUAGUUGCCAUCAUUAAGUUGGGCACUCUAAGUUGACUGCCGGUGACAAACCGGAGGAAGGUGGGGAUGACGUCAAAUCAUCAUGCCCCUUAUGAUUUGGGCUACACACGUGCUACAAUGGACAAUACAAAGGGCAGCGAAACCGCGAGGUCAAGCAAAUCCCAUAAAGUUGUUCUCAGUUCGGAUUGUAGUCUGCAACUCGACUACAUGAAGCUGGAAUCGCUAGUAAUCGUAGAUCAGCAUGCUACGGUGAAUACGUUCUCGGGUCUUGUACACACCGCCCGUCACACCACGAGAGUUUGUAACACCCGAAGCCGGUGGAGUAACCUUUUAGGAGCUAGCCGUCGAAGGUGGGACAAAUGAUUGGGGUGAAGUCGUAACAAGGUAGCCGUAUCGGAAGGUGCGGCUGGAUCACCUCCUUU